rnacentral:tRNA from 1 species
GGUGGCUCAGUGGUAGAGUGCUUGCCUUGCAUGCAAGAGGCCCUAGGUUCGAUUCCUCAGCACCA